CGCUGACGCAGCUGGCUGGCCUCCUGCUCCUGGUCUCCCGGAGGCUCCCUGCCCUCAGCAAUAGAAGGAGUGUUUGGUGUCUCAGCCUGAAAGGAGCAGUAAUGGUAGGAUUGAAGGCACAC
rnacentral:lncRNA from 1 species